AAUGCGAUAAUAAUGUGAAUUGCAGAAUUCAGUGAAUCAUCGAGUCUUUGAACGCACAUUGCGCCCCCUGGUAUUCCGGGGGGCAUGCCUGUCCGAGCGUCAUUGCUGCCCUCAAGCACGGCUUGUGUGUUGGGCUUCCGUCCCUGGCAACGGGGACGGGCCCAAAAGGCAGUGGCGGCACCAUGUCUGGUCCUCGAGCGUAUGGGGCUUUGUCACCCGCUCCCGUAGGUCCAGCUGGCAGCUAGCCUCGCAACCAAUCUUUUUAACCAGGUUGACCUCGGAUCAGGUAGGGAUACCCGCUGAACUUAAGC
rnacentral:misc_RNA from 1 species